rnacentral:rRNA from 1 species
GAGCGGUAGCACAGAGAGCUUGCUCUCGGGUGACGAGCGGCGGACGGGUGAGUAAUGUCUGGGAAACUGCCUGAUGGAGGGGGAUAACUACUGGAAACGGUAGCUAAUACCGCAUAACGUCGCAAGACCAAAGAGGGGGACCUUCGGGCCUCUUGCCAUCAGAUGUGCCCAGAUGGGAUUAGCUAGUAGGUGGGGUAAUGGCUCACCUAGGCGACGAUCCCUAGCUGGUCUGAGAGGAUGACCAGCCACACUGGAACUGAGACACGGUCCAGACUCCUACGGGAGGCAGCAGUGGGGAAUAUUGGACAAUGGGCGAAAGCCUGAUCCAGCCAUGCCGCGUGUGUGAAGAAGGUCUUCGGAUUGUAAAGCACUUUAAGUUGGGAGGAAGGGUCGUUACCUAAUACGUGACGAUUUUGACGUUACCGACAGAAUAAGCACCGGCUAACUCUGUGCCAGCAGCCGCGGUAAUACAGAGGGUGCAAGCGUUAAUCGGAAUUACUGGGCGUAAAGCGCGCGUAGGUGGUUUGUUAAGUUGAAUGUGAAAGCCCCGGGCUCAACCUGGGAACUGCAUCCAAAACUGGCAAGCUAGAGUAGGGCAGAGGGUGGUGGAAUUUCCUGUGUAGCGGUGAAAUGCGUAGAUAUAGGAAGGAACACCAGUGGCGAAGGCGACCACCUGGGCUCAUACUGACACUGAGGUGCGAAAGCGUGGGGAGCAAACAGGAUUAGAUACCCUGGUAGUCCACGCCGUAAACGAUGUCGACUUGGAGGUUGUUCCCUUGAGGAGUGGCUUCCGGAGCUAACGCGUUAAGUCGACCGCCUGGGGAGUACGGCCGCAAGGUUAAAACUCAAAUGAAUUGACGGGGGCCCGCACAAGCGGUGGAGCAUGUGGUUUAAUUCGAUGCAACGCGAAGAACCUUACCUACUCUUGACAUCCACGGAAUUUGGCAGAGAUGCCUUAGUGCCUUCGGGAACCGUGAGACAGGUGCUGCAUGGCUGUCGUCAGCUCGUGUUGUGAAAUGUU